GACGAACGCUGGCGGCGUGCUUAACACAUGCAAGUCGAACGGAAAGGCCCUGCUUUUGUGUGGUUCUCGAGUGGCGAACGGGUGAGUAACACGUGAGUAACCUGCCCUUGACUUUGGGAUAACUUCAGGAAACUGGGGCUAAUACCGGAUAGGAGCUCCUGCUGCAUGGUGGGGGUUGGAAAGUUUCGGCGGUUGGGGAUGGACUCGCGGCUUAUCAGCUUGUUGGUGGGGUAGUUGCUUACCAAGGCUUUGACGGGUAGCCGGCCUGAGAGGGUGACCGGCCACAUUGGGACUGAGAUACGGCCCAGACUCCUACGGGAGGCAGCAGUGGGGAAUAUUGCACAAUGGGCGGAAGCCUGAUGCAGCAACGCCGCGUGCGGGAUGACGGCCUUCGGGUUGUAAACCGCUUUCGCCUGUGACGAAGCGUGAGUGACGGUAAUGGGUAAAGAAGCACCGGCUAACUACGUG
rnacentral:rRNA from 1 species